ACCAUGAUGUGUAGCUGGACUGAGAGGUUGAACAGCCACAUUGGGACUGAGACACGGCCCAAACUCCUACGGGAGGCAGCAGUAGGGAAUUUUCGGCAAUGGAGGAAACUCUGACCGAGCAACGCCGCGUGAACGAUGAAGUAUUUCGGUAUGUAAAGUUCUUUUAUUGAAGAAGAAAAAAUAGUGGAAAAACUAUCUUGACGAUAUUCAAUGAAUAAGCCCCGGCAAACUAUGUGCCAGCAGCCGCGGUAAUACAUAGGGGGCGAGCGUUAUCCGGAAUUAUUGGACGUAAAGGGUGCGUAGGCGGUUUAAUAAGUCUAUAGUUUAAUUUCAGUGCUUAACACUGUCCUGCUAUAGAAACUAUUAGACUAGAGUGAGAUAGAGGCAAGUGGAAUUCCAUGUGUAGCGGUAAAAUGCGUAAAUAUAUGGAGGAACACCAGAGGCGUAGGCGGCUUGCUAGGUCUUUACUGACGCUGAGGCACGAAAGCGUGGGGAGCAAACAGGAUUAGAUACCCUGGUAGUCCACGCCGUAAACGAUGAGUACUAAGUGUCGGGAUUACUCGGUACUGAAGUUAACACAUUAAGUACUCCGCCUGAGUAGUACGUACGCGAGUAUGAAACUUAAAGGAAUUGACGGGACUCCGCACAAGCGGUGGAUCAUGUUGUUUAAUUCGAAGAUACACGAAAAACCUUACCAGGUCUUGACGUACUCUGCAAAGCUAUAGCAAUAUAGUGGAGGUUAUCAGGGAUACAGGUGGUGCAUGGUUUGUCGUCAGCUCGUGUCGUGAGAUGUUAGGUUA
rnacentral:rRNA from 1 species